GUUAUCUCCGUUUUUGUUUUUAUUUUGAGUUAGACCCUUUGAGUUAUCGCUUUUUAUGUUUUGUUCUUGAGUUAGACCCUUUCAGUUAUCUCCUUUUUUGUUUUGUUUUUGAGUUAUACCCUUUCAAUUAUUGUUCCGUUUUUGUUUUGAUUGAGUUAAAUUCUUGUCUUCUAUCGUUUACCUUGGUGAAAAUACGCUUAAUUCGAAACUAGUUUAUUGGACAAUUCAGCUACUCACCCAUAACACCGAUAGUUGUUGCACCACAUAUCCUCCGGUAACAUUCGCAAAACCAGGCAAAAAUAAUAUCAGUUGGAGCAGAUUGAGCAUCACGAAAUGCGGAAAACACUUCAAAACGCAAGCAACAUGAACAAAGAUAUCAGCGGGUGGUCGGCGGUGGUCAGUCGAAAGAAUAACAGGAUACGAGCUGAUUUUGCCAUAGUGGAAGCAGCAGCGCUCUUCUCUGUGCAUGUCCGUCUUCAACAAAGCCAGACGGCGUCCUGCGGCAAGUCGGUCCGGGAUGCGUUUGUGAUCCUUGUACAUCACCAACUUUACGAUCAAGUACUUGGACGGAUGCACACCGACACUUCUCGCGUUGGGUUCAUUCUAUUUUCGUACGGUACAUCCUUACCGCCCGGGAACUUCAUCGUGCUUGCGUUUUGGUUCCCAUCGGACGGUGUGCUUUUACUUUUGCUUCUUGGAUAAGGACUCCUACAUUUGGUCCCUGCGGGUGUGUUUGAAGUGUUAUCCCGAAAAUGGUUUCCCGACCACCAAAGUCCAAGUGAAUUUAGAGUGUUUACCCAAGUAAUGCUGCUCAAGCCGUAAUGCAUACGGUGUUAAUAAAGCGAGCAUUACUCUCAUAAGUGUAUGAAGUUUUAUUAAAAUGGGAUUGGCCCCCAAUAUAGAUAGUUGCAUAGAGGGCCCCCCAUAUAGCCACAGCUGUAGAACUGAGGGCAUUUCCAUGCUGGGGAUGACGGGUUCGAUUCCCGAUCGAUCUAGAAACUAUUCAUAUUGGAAAUUUCCUUAACUUCUUUGGAAAAAAGUAUCUUUGUGCCUGCCACACGAUAUUCAAAUACAAAACGAUCAUUGACAGAGGACGGUCUCAGAUAAAAACUGGGUGCAGAAUCGAUUUGAUUAUCUCGGAUAGAUACGUCAGUUGAUACAAUGGUAUAUGUAUUGUAAAGAAUUAAUCCUUUAUUGAAUAAAAAGAUAACUGUUUAUUAUAUUUUUUUCUUAUACAAACUUUGUUCGUAUUACCUUGAUGGCAUCUUUUAUCAAAACGUUUGAUAAUUCUUGGCGGAGUAAUCAACGAGUUUUUGUUACGCAGGAACCUCUUCAUCAUUUAAUUCCGGAUCUUCCAGAUAUUCCACCGGCCAAUCUUCAUCCGCAGCAUCUAAAUCGGCAUCGAAAUGAUCUUCCUGAUCGAGUUUCCUUUUCCUGCCUCGCUUAGGGGCCACGAGAUUUUUAAGCAAGAUUUCAUAAUAUUGCUUGUUUUUGAUAAAUGGCAGCAACUUUCUCAGGUCUUCUAAUUUCUCCUUCGGCAACGGUAUCGGUUCCUUUUCAAUUGGUAAAAGCAUUGGUAAGGGCAAAUCUGGGUUUCGAAAAUGUUGUUCAUCUCCCAAAGAAAAGCUUGAAAAAUUUUCUUCGGUGAUGUCCAUUUUGUAAAAAAUGACACCGGGAGAGACAGUUCGAUAUUCAAACUGCAUUAUUUGUUUGAACUUUAUUGGUUGUCCAGAAGAGUUGUGUUUGGGACGCUUGUACCUUGACUGGAGCGAUUUCAGCGCAACGAAAUCAAUUUGUUCUAAUUCCGU